rnacentral:rRNA from 1 species
UACGAAGGGGGCGAGCGUUUGUUCGGAAUUACUGGGCGUAAAGGGCGCGUAGGCGGCGACCCAAGUCAGAUGUGAAAGUCCUGGGCUUAACCUGGGGACUGCAUUUGAUACUGGGUUGCUUGAAUUCGGGAGAGGAUAGCGGAAUUCCCAGUGUAGAGGUGAAAUUCGUAGAUAUUGGGAAGAACACCGGUGGCGAAGGCGGCUAUCUGGACCGACAUUGACGCUGAGGCGCGAAAGCGUGGGGAGCAAACAGG